rnacentral:rRNA from 1 species
CCUACGGGGGGCUGCAGUGGGGAAUAUUGGACAAUGGGGGGAACCCUGAUCCAGCCAUGCCGCGUGUGUGAAGAAGGCCCUCGGGUUGUAAAGCACUUUCAGUGAGGAAGAACACCUGGUGGUUAAUACCCAUCAGGAAAGACAUCACUCACAGAAGAAGCACCGGCUAACUCCGUGCCAGCAGCCGCGGUAAUACGGAGGGUGCGAGCGUUAAUCGGAAUUACUGGGCGUAAAGCGCGCGUAGGUGGCUUGAUAAGCCGGUUGUGAAAGCCCCGGGCUCAACCUGGGAACGGCAUCCGGAACUGUCAAGCUAGAGUGCAGGAGAGGAAGGUAGAAUUCCCGGUGUAGCGGUGAAAUGCGUAGAGAUCGGGAGGAAUACCAGUGGCGAAGGCGGCCUUCUGGACUGACACUGACACUGAGGUGCGAAAGCGUGGGUAGCAAACAGGAUUAGAUACCCUGGUAGUC